rnacentral:rRNA from 1 species
UUACACAUGCAAGUCGAACGGUAACAGGUCUUUGGAUGCUGACGAGUGGCGAACGGGUGAGUAAUACAUCGGAACGUGCCCGAUCGUGGGGGAUAACGAAGCGAAAGCUUUGCUAAUACCGCAUACGAUCUACGGAUGAAAGCAGGGGACCGCAAGGCCUUGCGCGAACGGAGCGGCCGAUGGCAGAUUAGGUAGUUGGUGGGAUAAAAGCUUACCAAGCCGACGAUCUGUAGCUGGUCUGAGAGGACGACCAGCCACACUGGGACUGAGACACGGCCCAGACUCCUACGGGAGGCAGCAGUGGGGAAUUUUCGACAAUGGGCGAAAGCCUGAUCCAGCCAUGCCGCGUGCAGGAUGAAGGCCUUCGGGUUGUAAACUGCUUUUGUACGGAACGAAAAGACUCUGGUUAAUACCUGGGGUCCAUGACGGUACCGUAAGAAUAAGCACCGGCUAACUACGUGCCAGCAGCCGCGGUAAUACGUAGGGUGCAAGCGUUAAUCGGAAUUACUGGGCGUAAAGCGUGCGCAGGCGGUUAUAUAAGACAGAUGUGAAAUCCCCGGGCUCAACCUGGGAACUGCAUUUGUGACUGUAUAGCUAGAGUACGGCA